rnacentral:lncRNA from 1 species
GUUUAGUUUCUGAUCCUCCUGCCUCAGCCUCCUAGAAUGCUGGAACUACAGGGCCUUGCUAUGUAGUUCAGACUGACCUUGAACUCACUAUGUAGAACAGGCUGGCUUUGAAUUCCUCCUGCCUCAACCUCCUGAGUGCUGGGAUUAUAGACAUGCACCACCAUGCCCAGCUCCACUGUAAUUGGAUCUUGAAGAAUGAAGAACGUACCAGGAAGAAAACAAGAAGCAAGAAAGAAGCUUUGUGUUCUAGGACAUGGAAACUGCAAGGAUUGAACUCAGGACCUUUCACUUGCAAGGUAGGUGCAGUGCCACUGAGCUAAAUCCUCAGCCCAGUGAUUGAUAUUCUAAAUAGACAUCAAUCUCUCUAGCCCAUAUCCUUUCCAGAAAUUCCUCUUCCGUGACUUGUUUUCCCACUUGAUCCCCAUUUAAUCAAUAUUACCUGGGUAACUGUACUUGCAAUCUUAUUGUUAAUCAUGGUUUUGUCCCACCUCACGCCCACCUUGUGAUUUUCCAUUGGGUCUUAUAAUUUCAUCCCACCCUGUACCCGCCUCACCUCCAGGCUUUGCCCUAUAUAACACCUUUGAAAAGCAGGGUGGGUGGACAACCCACUUUCCGGUCUCCCUUCUAUCUCUCUUAGACAGAAGCUACCUUUCUCUCAAUAAAUUUUUCUUACUCUUAACUUCGUUUCUAAAAUUCACUCUUCAAUUUCAGAGAACAUGAACUUGUGUUUUGGAUAUCUAGUAGGUUGGAAGUUAUAAUAUUUCUGUUGUUUGGAUUAUUUUUGCUUAUUUGGAUACCAUAUUUGGAUCACUUGGUGCCCUAUAUCAGUGGCAUGCCUGUAAUCCCAGCACUUGGGGGGCUGAGGCAGGGGAAUCACUGAAAGUUCAAGGCCAACCUAAACUAUAAGCAAGACCCUGUCUGAAAAAAAUUUAAAAAAAUUUUUUUGCUCCUCUGAGUGAAUGAUAAUAAAACAAGGUUGAGAAACACUGCCCUGCACCUUUAUAAAUAGUCUCUUGUCAGAUGCUCUCAGAUGACUCAGGUGGGGUAUGUGCUUCUUUCUACCCUGGUGCCUAACUCAUGCACGAGGCAGUGUAUUUCAGCGCUCCAUGAAGGAGGUUAUCCAUGUGGUCAUGCAGAAAGGCAGCGUAACAUUCUGGGAACAAGUCUGGCCUGCUGGGGUUGGAAUGCUGGUUCUGCCAUUCAGUGUGUGAUCUUGACCUCUGUGUCUGUACUCUAUGGGCAACCAGGGCAGCUCUCUCCUUGUGACCCAGAGGGUACUGCUUAGUGUGUGUCAGUCAGGUAAGAGCCAGGAAAAUG